UCGACGGCAGCACGGGUGCUUGCACCUGGUGGCGAGUGGCGAACGGGUGAGUAAUGCGUCGGAACGUACCGAGUAAUGGGGGAUAACGCAGCGAAAGUUGUGCUAAUACCGCAUACGCCCUGAGGGGGAAAGUGGGGGACCGCAAGGCCUCACGUUAUUCGAGCGGCCGACGUCUGAUUAGCUAGUUGGUGGGGUAAAGGCCUACCAAGGCGACGAUCAGUAGCGGGUCUGAGAGGAUGAUCCGCCACACUGGGACUGAGACACGGCCCAGACUCCUACGGGAGGCAGCAGUGGGGAAUUUUGGACAAUGGGGGCAACCCUGAUCCAGCCAUUCCGCGUGAGUGAAGAAGGCCUUCGGGUUGUAAAGCUCUUUCAGCUAGAACGAAACGGUACGCGCUAACAUCGUGUGCUAAUGACGGUACCGGCAGAAGAAGCACCGGCUAACUACGUGCCAGCAGCCGCGGUAAUACGUAGGGUGCGAGCGUUAAUCGGAAUUACUGGGCGUAAAGCGUGCGCAGGCGGAUUGUUAAGCAAGACGUGAAAUCCCCGGGCUUAACCUGGGAAUGGCGUUUUGAACUGGCAGUCUAGAGUGCGUCAGAGGGGGGUGGAAUUCCACGUGUAGCAGUGAAAUGCGUAGAGAUGUGGAGGAACACCGAUGGCGAAGGCAGCCCCCUGGGAUGACACUGACGCUCAUGU
rnacentral:rRNA from 1 species